GCCGGGGUAGCUCAAUCGGUAGAGCGUGUGGCUCUUAGUCUGCCAGACGAGAUCACCUCAAGGGUGUGUUCUAUCACAUCUGCGCUU
rnacentral:tRNA from 1 species